AUUGAACGCUGGCGGCAGGCCUAACACAUGCAAGUCGAGCGAGCGGCGGACGGGUGAGUAAUGUCUGAGAAACUGCCUGAUGGAGGGGGAUAACUAUUGGAAACGGUAGCUAAUACCGCAUACCAUCAGAUGUGCCCAGAUGGGAUUAGCUAGUAGGUGGGGUAUUGGCUCACCUAGGCGACGAUCCCUAGCUGGUCUGAGAGGCUGACCAGCCACACUGGAACUGAGACACGGUCCAGACUCCUACGGGAGGCAGCGGUGGGGAAUAUUGCACAAUGGGCGCAAGCCUGAUGCAGCCAUGCCGCGUGUAUGAAGAAGGCCUUCGGGUUGUAAAGUACUUUCAGCGGGGAGGCGUUACCCGCAGAGAAAGCACCGGCUAACUCCGUGCCAGCCGCCGCGGUAAUUC
rnacentral:rRNA from 1 species